CCUACGGGAGGCAGCAGUGGGGAAUAUUGGGCAAUGGGCGCAAGCCUGACCCAGCAACGCCGCGUGAAGGAAGAAGGCUUUCGGGUUGUAAACUUCUUUUGACAGGGAAGAGCAGAAGACGGUACCUGUCGAAUAAGCCACGGCUAACUACGUGCCAGCAGCCGCGGUAAUACGUAGGUGGCAAGCGUUGUCCGGAUUUACUGGGUGGAAAGGGCGUGUAGCCGGGCUGACAAGUCAGAUGUGAAAUCCGGGGGCUCAACCCCCGAACUGCAUUUGAAACUGUUGGUCUUGAGUAUCGGAGAGGCAGGCGGAAUUCCUAGUGUAGCGGUGAAAUGCGUAGAUAUUAGGAGGAACACCAGUGGCGAAGGCGGCCUGCUGGACGACAACUGACGGUGAGGCGCGAAAGCGUGGGGAGCAAACAGGAUUAGAUACCCUAGUAGUC
rnacentral:rRNA from 1 species